rnacentral:rRNA from 1 species
AGCAGCCGCGGUAAUUCCAGCUCCAAUAGCGUAUAUUAAAGUUGUUGCAGUUAAAAAGCUCGUAGUUGAAUUUCGGGAUCAUCAGGUUGGUCGUGCCUCUGGUAUGUACUGAUUUCGAUGGUCCCUCCUUCUUGAAGAGCCGUAAUGCCAUUAAUUUGGUGUUGCGGGGAAUCAGGACUGUUACUUUGAAAAAAUUAGAGUGUUUAAAGCAGGCAAUCGCUUGAAUACAUUAGCAUGGAAUAAUGAAAUAGGACGUUCGAUCCUAUUUUGUUGGUUUCUAGGAUUGACGUAAUGAUUAAUAGGGAUAGUUGGGGGCAUUAGUAUUCAAUUGUCAGAGGUGAAAUUCUUGGAUUUAUUGAAGACUAACUACUGCGAAAGCAUUUGCCAAGAAUGUUUUCAUUAAUCAAGAACGAAAGUUAGGGGAUCGAAGACGAUCAGAUACCGUCGUAG